rnacentral:rRNA from 1 species
GACGAACGCUGGCGGCGUGCUUAACACAUGCAAGUCGAACGGAAAGGCCCUGCUUUUGUGGGGUGCUCGAGUGGCGAACGGGUGAGUAACACGUGAGUAACCUGCCCUUGACUUUGGGAUAACUUCAGGAAACUGGGGCUAAUACCGGAUAGGAGCUCCUGCUGCAUGGUGGGGGUUGGAAAGUUUCGGCGGUUGGGGAUGGACUCGCGGCUUAUCAGCUUGUUGGUGGGGUAGUGGCUUACCAAGGCUUUGACGGGUAGCCGGCCUGAGAGGGUGACCGGCCACAUUGGGACUGAGAUACGGCCCAGACUCCUACGGGAUGCAGCAGUGGGUAAUAUUGCACAAUGGGCGGAAGCCUGAUGCAGCAACGCCGCGUGCGGGAUGACGGCCUUCGGGUUGUAAACCGCUUUCGCCUGUGACGAAGCGUGAGUGACGGUAAUGGGUAAAGAAGCACCGGCUAACUACGUG